rnacentral:rRNA from 1 species
UACGUAGGGGGCAAGCGUUAUCCGGAUUUACUGGGUGUAAAGGGGGCGCAGACGGCAGCGCAAGCCAGGAGUGAAAACCCGGGGCUCAACCCCGGGACUGCAUUGGAAACUGCCGGGCUGGAGUGUCGGAGGGGUAAGCGGAAUUCCUAGUGUAGCGGUGAAAUGCGUAGAUAUUAGGAGGAACACCAGUGGCGAAGGCGGCUUACUGGACGAUGACUGACGCUGAGGCUCGAAAGCGUGGGGAGCAAACAGG